rnacentral:lncRNA from 1 species
AGCCCUGGAAGCCUGCACAACUGCCUUGGUCCUUCUGACCCCAACAACUGGUCAUUUCAUGCCCCAUGGGAUGCUAGCUGAAGACAUUAAACACAGGGGUCAUCUCUGGUUACUCUGAGGAUGUGCGUAAAGGUUGUAGUGUGGAGAAGCAAUGGGGAUGCCUCAUGGUUUUAUGGACCACUUUCCACUUUUCCAGAUGCAAAAAGAGGGGCUGUAACAGUCUUGAGAACAAGGUUGAAGCUGAGAAGGUCAUGACUCUGAGAAUACGGGCAAGAUGUGAAUUCAGAAGACUGAACCUUCUCUCCAUUGUAAUUUGGUGCCUCGUUGAGGGAGGCCACGUCAAAAGUCUGUUGUGGCCAGAAUCUUCAUGAACACCAUGCUUGACCUUAGGCUAUGUCGUAGUGUUGAGAUGAAGAUGGAAAAAUCCCAGGACCACUUGCAAAAAUGAUCUGCAGCUCAAGCAAACCUUUCCAUACCAUGGCUGCACAGCAAGCAUGCUG